rnacentral:lncRNA from 1 species
CCGUGGGUAGAAUGAACAGGGAAUGAAGAGUGGUGAUGCUGCUGCUGCUGAAGAUCAUGAGAUGGACAUAUUGAAGGUGAUGCUGAUGAAGAAGGUGGAAGAGGAGAAGGGGUCAAGCCUCAUGUGAAAGACUUUACAAACGUCCUCGCCACCAACUUUGGGGAGAAUAUGCUCAUCUCUCUGGCCCAGAAGAGGCUGCUUUUUAGCUAUGG